GUUUGCUUUUAUAGACUCUGUAGGCGCGUUCACCUCAAACUCCCAAAACCCUCUCUCACUCUCUCUCUGAAACUCCUAAAACCCUAAAAUCUUCUGUAUUCGAAUGGCAGAACCGAGUCAGGUGAGUCAUCUCAUUGAGUCCUUCGUCGACUCGUCUCGUUCCCCGACUCAGCAGGCUGCAAGCUUGGACAAAAUUGCUUCUCUUGUGAAGAAUGAUGUAUUAACUAUGGAAGGACUGGUCAGGGAGAUGCAGAUGUAUUUGACCACUACAGAUAACAUCGUUCAUGCGAGAGGUAUCCUUCUUCUUGCAGAAGUGCUGACAUGUCUUGCAACAAAGGCACUAGACAAUGCUACAUUACAUAGCUUGAUAGGGUUCUUCGCUGACAGAUUGGCAGAUUGGAAAGCUUUACGUGGUGCACUUGUUGGUUGCUUGGCACUGAUGAGGAGGAAAAGUAGUGCUGGUGUGGUUACUAGCACUGAUGCCAAAGCAGUUGCAAAGUCUUUUUUACAGAACCUACAGGUGCAGUCUUUAGGACAGCAUGAUAGGAAGGGUGAUGAGCUUAUUUAUGGAAUUUGUGAAGCCGUUGAUUCAGAAAAGGAUCCUCAAUGCUUGAUGCUUACGUUUCAUAUUGUUGAAGUUCUGGUGCAACUGUUUCCAGAUACAUCUGGUCCAUUUGCAAGUUUUGCUGGGGAUCUUUUUGAAAUUUUGAGCUGUUACUUUCCUAUUCAUUUUACACCCAAGGGGUGAGGAUCUUGGUAUCAAAAGGGAUGACCUCUCUCAGGCACUAAUGCAACUGUAUGUACCUCAUUCUUCUGGAGUUGGCAUUCUCCUCGACACCUGUUUGCUUCUUGAGAAGCUUUCUUCUUCUCUACCAUCAGCAAAGGAAAAUUUUCUAACAUGGACAUACUUUGAAGAAGGCCAGCGGAAGUCACUCUUGUAUCAUUUCAUAAUGACAGCAAAGCUUGCAUAUGGUCUAUGAGUUUGAAUCCAAAGGCGUGUGAAUAUCUUGUCAGUCCAAUGAAAGAUGAAGUGAAAUCGAAAUCUAGAAGGAAGGCAUUGAGAGAUGUAUCCAACAAUGGUGGAAGGUUUUGAAGCUGUGAAUUUAAGGAAGCAAUCUCAUUAGUAAGAAGAUGAUCGGUCUAGGGCAAUUGAAGAAGACAAUAUGCUCGAUCGCCUCUUGCUCCUUAAGUCCAACCUCUUCUCUCUCUUCCACCAGGUAACUGGCACUUACAGUGCCAAAACAUAGAGAGAUAUGCUUGUUUGAUUCUCCCAUGCAUAUCUCUCUAUGUUUUAGAAUGCAGAGAUUCCUUCUCCCAUGCAAUUAUUGACAUCAUUACUCCAUUUAGAGCUUAAUCGGAUUUAGAAAAUGCUUACAUUACAAAAUAUUUGGAUCCCUUCGCAACUUUAUAUCAAUUUGUCUUGACAUGGAUAAUUAACCAAGUCAUUUUGAAUUGAUUGUAAGUUAAGCAUGUUAACACGGUUUCAGCGAAAAAGACUAUAUACUUCAGGAGCCUAAUAAAGAAGAAGACAACGUUAUACACCACUCAAUCAAGACUCUCCCAAAGCCCAAGAUACAGAACCAAAUUGUCCAAUUCAAUGUAAAAUAUUUCCUGAUCCACCAUAUAAACAUAGAAAACCAGGCCUAUGAAUUAGACAAACUGCAAGAAAGAGUGUAAGAACUCCACCUAGGCUACCAAGUCCAUUAAGCCUAAAAGCAAGCCAAGCCCACUUGGAGCCCAAUUUGUGAUUCAAGUCUAAACCUGAAAGCAACAUUCGGCUAGUGAACUUGUAGUCUUGAACUGGAAUCAAGUCACCGAAUCAGAAGCACGUCACACCAUUGUCUAAAAGAUAGCCACUUGCCUCAUCAAAAAAGAAAAAAAAAAGGAGAUCCACUUGCUAGACAAUAGAUAGACAUGUAUGACAAUUAAUUAACCAAAAUGUGGAAGAGGUGAAACCAC